rnacentral:rRNA from 1 species
AUUGAACGCUGGCGGCAUGCCUUACACAUGCAAGUCGAACGGUAACAGGUUAAGCUGACGAGUGGCGAACGGGUGAGUAAUGUAUCGGAACGUGCCCAGUCGUGGGGGAUAACUACUCGAAAGAGUGGCUAAUACCGCAUACGACCUGAGGGUGAAAGCGGGGGACCGUAAGGCCUCGCGCGAUUGGAGCGGCCGAUAUCAGAUUAGCUAGUUGGUGGGGUAAAAGCCCACCAAGGCGACGAUCUGUAGCUGGUCUGAGAGGACGACAAGCCACACUGGAACUGAGACACGGCCCAGACUCCUACGGGAGGCAGCAGUGGGGAAUUUUGGACAAUGGACGCAAGUCUGAUCCAGCCAUGCCGCGUGCGGGAAGAAGGCCUUCGGGUUGUAAACCGCUUUUGUCAGGGAAGAAACGAGUUUCUCUAAUACAGAGACUUAAUGACGGUACCUGAAGAAUAAGCACCGGCUAACUACGUGCCAGCAGCCGCGGUAACAC